rnacentral:rRNA from 1 species
CAGCAGCAGCCGCGGGAAUACGUAGGUGGCAAGCGUUGUCCGGAAUUAUUGGGCGUAAAGGGCUCGCAGGCGGUUUCUUAAGUCUGAUGUGAAAGCCCCCGGCUCAACCGGGGAGGGUCAUUGGAAACUGGGAAACUUGAGUGCAGAAGAGGAGAGUGGAAUUCCACGUGUAGCGGUGAAAUGCGUAGAGAUGUGGAGGAACACCAGUGGCGAAGGCGACUCUCUGGUCUGUAACUGACGCUGAGGAGCGAAAGCGUGGGGAGCGAACAGGAUUAGAUACCCCUGUAGUCCCUGUCUCUUAUAC